AAAGCCGUAUCACCGAAAGUUUUCGGUGGCGGAGCCCCUACCUGUUAUCCGGGAGGCCCGGGACACAUUGCAAUGAUGUGAAUUAAAUGUUAAUGCAUCAGGCUGCAUUUGUAAACUAUCGACUAAACAUCGCAUAGAAGAGUAACAUCCCACAGGGAUGGUGGAAGUACUGAGAAAUUUGUGGAGAGGAAAUUGCAGAAAUGGAUGGUGGCCAGUGUGAAUAAGUACCAUACAGUAUAUUGAUGGGCUAACACAAGCAAGACGUCUUAACAGAAAUUGUUGCGACAGUUCCCGGAGCAGACUGACCAACAGACCAGAGAACGACUUUGGGUAAUUGAAAAAAUGUUCAUGCAUGAAAAUCAACCGAAUAAACUACUUUAGCGUUGACGGAUACUACAUUUUUCAAGC